GAGCAUGGACUGAAAUGCCAGCAACAAAUCCAGAGGAUGCCCCCAGGAACCAUAAGGAGUUGCUUGAGGUCCUUAUUAACUCUGCAGCAAGAGAGGCAGGCUGCCUUACCUCUUCAGACAUAUCUAUUUAUACACCAUGACACUGAGCACUCUUUUCUAGCUCCUGGUGAGCAGUCACCAGGAAGAAAUCCUGAACACUGGAGCCAUUUGGUUGGAUCUAAGAUGAUUCUGUUCAUGUGGGAGAAGCAGAUGUGUAAGACACAGAUUCAUGUACAGAACUGUACUUCCAAUGGAUGGAAGUGUCUGGUGGUGGAAACAGACAGCUUUUCUUUUCCUUUUUAAAAAACAUAUCCUCAGGACGGAGAGUGUGCAGUUGUCUAGAGACCUUUGCUUAUUGGAAUGCAUCCACUGCCAACUUGGGACUUCCUGGUGACAGAAGAUAUGUGUAAUCUUCUUUGCCUUCUUGUCUUUUUUCUCCUGCAUCCAUGAUCUACCAUUACAGUCAAUAACAUCUGUAUUAUUCUUUCAUACUUGUUGUUUUGUUUCUUCUUAA